rnacentral:tRNA from 1 species
GCGGGUGUAGCUCAGGGGUAGAGCACAACCUUGCCAAUUUUUGCGUUCGAGGGUUCGAAUCCCUUCGCCCGCUCCA